GGUUGGAGAUGGCCUAAUCUUGCAUGUUGGAGAUACAAAUUUAUCCUACAAUAUUAAUUUUUAAAAAUAAUAAAUUUUAAAGGGCUAAAACAUUGUUACAAGGGUUGUGUUUAGCCUUCCGGGAUUGAAGAUGGCCUAUCAGCCACACAAAAACCAACUUAUAGUAAGAAAACAGUAAUAUGUGGCACGUCUACGUGAAAUAAUCUGUUUGUAUUAUAGUACUAGUGGACGACACGGUUGACAAUUCUCUUUUAAGAUAUGCUAUCAAUAAAAUAUCCACGCAUACUAUACCACAUAACAAUACUCUAGUACGUACGGUAGUACCAGACAUCCAACAUUAAAAAGAAAAAAUAGUACUAGAGAAAUUAUAAGUUCAAAUCCCCCCAUAUAGAGAAGGGACCUUAAAUAUUAGCACCAUUAAGUUUACAAAAUAAAAUGCCCAAAUAAAAUGAGCCCACAAGCUUUUGAGUUCUGACCAUACCGAAAUAAAGUACUUAGAAUAAAAGGAAAACUAAUGAAAAUGGCUUGAAAACUUUGAGUUUUAAUGAUAAGGACAAAAUAAAAGGUAAAGUGAAUAGUACCAUGAUUGACUUUUUAGUGUAAAAAUGUGGUUUUUCGUUAAAGUGAACAGUACUGGGUGUUUUUCGUUAAAAAUCCCUAGAAUAAAUGAGUUUUGAAAAAAAAACAUGCAUGAAAGGACAGUCCUCCCGACUUCAGUUAAGCUUGAGCACUAACAGAACUUUCUAUCAUAUCACAUCAGACGAUCUAGAUCUCUCCCAGCACCUGCGCAAGUAAAAGAAGAACCCCAUUUUAUUUACAUGUGGAAACCAAGAAUUGAUUAACAAAAGAAAAGUGAAAUGAUAUAUAGAAACUGUAUAGUUAUAUACUAAACCUACGAAAUGGUGCCAAUAGUAGUCGUCUUCCUUCCUCUCCCUCACCGCCAGAGGGACAUAGGUCUUGGGGUCUUCACCCCACUGUCUCUUCCGCCUAGCCGGAGCACCCGGUGGUUUGGUGUUCGGUGAAGCUGGAGCUGAUGAGAGGUUUUUAGAUGCCUCUUCCAAGGUAUACCUACAGCAUAUAUUCACACAUUAACUAAUUAAUUCUGAACCUGUUAUUGUAUAUAUGUAUAUAUGUACCCAGUCUUAACUGUCUCCUGGGCUGGGAGGAACAUGUUUGAACGGAUCGGGAAAUUAUUAUGACUCUCCCCAUUCCUGAUCUCCAUCUGACCAUGGAGUGCUAACCCCAUCUGCCCAAGGUAAAAUAUUGCCAAGGAGUUAAUAAAACCAGGCACUAUAUAUGAUACAUCCUCACGGUAAAAGUGGGAAAAGCUCAUAUGGUCAAGUAGACUAAAAUAUAUUCUGUUAAGGGUAAUGUUUGGGAGACAAAAUUUGGAGACAAAAUUAGCAAACUAAAUGAUUUGUCACCAAUAAUAAUGAGCACAGUUAUCGACGCUUAAGUAAUAAACCAAUCAUCAGCUUCCAUGUUCUUUAGUUUUCAAAACUUUGCUUCCAAAUUUUCUCUCCCUAACAUUACCCUUUUGUUAAAAUUGUAACUAAAAAGCUGACCAUUUGCGAUAAAAUUUCCAUAUCUGUUGGGUUAACAUGUAGAGUAAUGAAAACAAAAUCGUUAUAUUGAAGCUGUUCAACUUACAUCUGGACGAUGCAAAUCAACGGUAAUAUUCCCAGAGCCAUUUCGCAGGAUAGCAUCCAAAUUAAUUUCUGGUUCCACGUCAUAAAUGUGAAUACCGUCGGGAAAGGAAAAAGGAGGCGAGUUUGGGACAUCUCUCAAUUGUUUAGAGGAACUUGUAUCAUCUAAUUUACUUUUGUGAGAUUUAAAUCUCUACAAAUAUGGUAAUACCAUCUAGUUAAUAUGCACAUAACAACAUUCAUAACCACUAUAUCUAUAUUCUCCACACCCUAAACUUGAUACAUUUCAAUCGAUCUCCAACCAAGCAUAAGAAAUUGAAGUACUACUACAAAGUAUAGGCUUAUUGAGGAAUGGUUAGGACUACAACAUUCAGCAUUUCCUCAUUUUGUUUUGUAUGCAAUUGACUAUUAUGUGGAAAACUAAAAGCAAUUAUUAUGAGGAUAGAAAUGGCAACAAGAUAUGAAAUUCUUAUACUAAUUGCAAUUGGUACUGUUUCAUAUUGUAGUGUAUGAGGUUUAAAAACCACGCACGUUGUCAUGUAAGACACGUAAGACAUAACCAUAUAUAUAGUUAUCCGUUGUCCGUUCAAAUACAUUAUAACCGUACAAUCGCGUGUCACAUAAGAAAUCUUUAGGAGAAAAUUAGGUCUUGAAAUGUUAGAAAUCAAUACUAGCUAUUAGAUGAUAAUAAUAAAGAUAUCUCUACUAGCUAGUUGGGGUAAAUUAAGCUAUGUGCUUUAGAUCUGAGUCCAUUAAUCAUUAUGAUUUAAUUAUUUCGUAUUGGGAUGAAAUAAUUAUAUCAUAUCACAUGAAUUAAGAACUGGAAGAUAGAGUUCAGUUAAAUAUAAUCAAAAUUGGGGUUAUUUUGUUUGAAUAUUAGAUCCCCCAAUAUUGUAGCACGUAACUUUGUGGGGAUUAAUUAGAGGGAUUAUGAAAAUUAAUUGGAUCUCUCUCACUAAAAAGGAGCAUUGAGAAAUAUAAUUCAAUAAAAAUUAGCAAGAGAAAUUGGUUUGAAUUUCAAUAGAAUUUCCCUCCACCUAAUGCUACACAAAAUUUCUCUUAUUAAUUAUUUCCUUUCAUAUCGUUUUCCUUCUGCAAAUCCUUUGAAUCACACCCCUCUUUCUCUUAAUUAAAUAAAAUAAAUAUAUAAAAAAGACUUUCCAAGUGAUUCAAACCCUUGUCACAAAAAAAUAAAAAUAAAAACAAUUCAAAACCCUCGUUUUGUUUUUUUGGGUGAUAGAUUCAGAACCAUACUGAUUGAAAACAAAUUAAACAAAAGGGCUAACCAUAUAACCAAUUUUUAUCUGAUAAUUAAAAUCCAAACAUUGACAUGCGUGGAUAAGAUUAGCUUGCAGCUGAUGACAUGUUUGUCCACUGGAUCAGUCAUUUUGGAGGCUGCUGAGAUUUUGAAAACACCUAAAAACAAAGAUAGCCGUACAAGUCCAUAAGGUUAGAUAGAUCAUAUAUAUAGAAAAAUGUGGGGAUAUAUACGCUUACACACAAUUAUAUGUAUCUCAAAUCUAGGGAAGAAAUCAACAUGCCUGAGGAAUUGAGCUGAGGAGAGAGAAGCACUUAGAGACUGAGACUCUCAGACAGCUGCUACUAGAAAAUCUGUUUGGCAAAUGAGGGUAACAUAUUACAUGUAUAUAUAGUGCUAGAGGUUUUCUCUUCCAAGGGUUUAAUUGGAAUUUAACUCAUUCUCACCAACUCAUCAGAAGACACCUGCAAUUAUAACGCUCAUGCAAGUCAGCAUAAGCACUUACAUCAGCUGCAAUUCGGAUGCUUAGAGGUGGUUUGGGAGUGAAGUGCUUAAAAAAAAAGCAUCCAUGAAAAAUAGCUGUGAGGGUUUUAGGUGUUUGGUAAACUGAAAAAAAAAAGGCUUAUUUUGGAAGCUGCUGUGAGAAUAAGCUGAAAUCAAAGGAAAAAGCUGAAGCUGCUAUUUGCAGCUUUGGAAAACUGGCUUUUUUUCAAAGCAUACGGAGCUGCAGUGCUCCUUUAAUGAAAAGACCCACUAUGAGACUGUUUUUUUUUUUCCAAAAGCACUUUUACAGAAAAGUUUACCAAACACUCUGCUGAUUUAUUUCACAGCCGCUUAUUCUCACAGCACAGCCGCUUAUUCUCACAGCAGUUUUUUUUCAAAGCACAGCAAUACCAAACCAGCCCUUAGUGUCUUUGUUAAACCCAGUAGUUCACAGCCAUGUCAUUAAGUCUAGAGACGUGUAAACAUCUUGGGCAUGCAGGUUUUUAAUUUUGUUUUUUUUACAACGAUAUAUAUAUAUAUAUACACACACACGCGCACACACACUAAGGAGUACAGAAUAAAUUGGUUGCAAAUAUUAUACAUGUACAUAUACAUAUAUUGCUAUGCUUCAAACAAUUAUUGAUUAAUUUUUCUAUGCUAUGAACUUAUGUAUUAUUACAAAAGAGUAUGUAGUAGCUAGUAGAAAACCUAAAACAAAUUUUUAGUUUAAAUUUCUUGAGUUUAUAACUCCAACGGUAAAUUAUUUUCCCAAUAAUCCUCGUGCGCCCAACCGUGUAUUCACUUUUUCCUCUUAAACUGUAACGCAAAUAACUAAACCGUAAGGAAAAUAAUGCUACAAAAUGUACGAGGUUUAAUUUAAUUGUGCACUUAUUGUUCAUAUUUAACUCCAACAGUAAACUAUUUUUCUGCGAAAUCCCUGAUGCGCGCGUAGUCAUGCGCUCUUUCCUCCUAAACCAUAAUGCAGUUAAAUGCAUUAGAUGUAUGAGGUUUCAUUUGACGGCGUACUUGUUAUAUUUAUCAAAUUUUUGUAUAUUUUUGCUUAAGAUUAAUAUAUUUAUUCAAUAUGUGACAAUUACUAUUAGUACUGAGAUUAGUUUGAUAAUACACUUUUUUUUGGUACAAAAAUUCUUCUAUUAGCUCAUGAAAAAAUAAAAUGAAAAUAUUGUUUUUUCUUUUCCGUUGAAUUUGAUAAAAGGUAAAAACACGUUAUUGCCCAUUAAAGCGUGGUUGACACUUAGCAUCCAAAUAUAUAUGUCACGAGAUAGUGAUUAUUUCUAUGUGCAAUCCAGAUUACAUACCUUAAGUGUCAUCCUACAUGAACGACAUGUGUCCUAUGUGGUUGGUGGCAUCCUACGCGGCCUGUAUUUUUGAGGUGAAAAUAUAAUUUUCGUAUCCAACAGGUUUAAUUAUUUAUGGCAGGUCAUUUAUUCAAUUGCACUAUGUAACUUUGUUGGAGCCAUAAUUAUUAAUUAAUUUUCUUUCCAACUAUUUGAGGAUGUAAAAUUGAAUUCAGUAAAAAAAGAAAAUCUAAUUGUUUAUGGUCCUUUGGCAACUAGUUACAAGUGCAUAUAUGAGAAUCCAACCGUUUUUAAUGAAUAUUUAAUGUCAACUUUUUUAUGUUUUGCAUAUAAUGAGAAAAUGAUAAACACGUCUCCUUUUUCUCUGUGUAAAAAAGUGGGAAACUAGAUUAUAAUUCCUCAAUAAGAUCUAUUCAUUCAAGUCUGGUGUAAUAUUAAAUAUUGAUUUGGUCCUUUAAUAAUAUGCUAUUAAAUAUCAUGCAUGUUUCUAUAAAAACAAAUAUUUAUCAAUGUGGAGGACCCUCCUAAAAAUUAGGAGAGAAAACUUUCCACAAUGACACGCUGGUAACAAUACAUAUACGUUCAUAUGCACAUAUAUUAUAUAAAAUUUGUGUACUUAUACAUGAGAUAUGAUUAAGGGACAAAUAUUUUUACACUCCUUAUUAGCUCUUGGAUCUUUUUACAUCUAAUGCACUAGUGGAGCCAAGUACAAGGCUCCCCUAGGCUAUAGCAUAGGGAGUGUUUUGAAUCUUUAAGCUUCAAAAUAUUAAUAUUUUGGGCUAUUUUAUGAUUUUAAUUGUCAUAUUUCACUUAGCAAAUGAAAUUUUUGAAUCAUAGGGCUACUUUUAAAGAAAAUAAGAGCUAAUAAAUGUUAAAUAAACUCAUCACUUUAACCCAUAUUAUAAUUUAAUAGUAAUAAAGUAAAACUUCCAUCCACAAUGGGCUAGCAAUAAUGUGGUUCAAAUUCGUCUUAGGAGAAAAUCGAACGUAUGACGUAUCACUUACAAGUAAAGAGGAAUUUCACUAGACAGUAGUACUAAGUGACAGUAUAAAUUUCUUACUUCAAAUUAUUACUUUCAAGUUAUAUAGCUUUAUAUACGCAACAAAAGAUUAAAAUUUUGAUUUCAAAGUAAUAAUUUUAACUUAGCUCACCCACCGAAUAAUUCCUGGCUACGCCAUUGAUCUAAUGGUCUUGAAUAAAAGUUAAGAUUAUUGUCAUUAAACUAGUAGGUGAUAUGGCAUUGACUGAAAUCAUUUAGGAAAAAUUAGUAACAGUCCCUAGUUCUUACUGUUCAUUAACUAAGACCUUAUUAGUUCUUAAAUUUUGACUCAAGUCCCUAGCAAUAAUGUGAUAAUGAAUUUACAUGUUUAUUAUAUAAUUUUUAAUAUAAAAAUUAGUAAUUAAUUUAGGGUUUAAUACUCACACCUCUAUUAAACUUCUAAUUAAUUUUCAUUCAAACAUUUCUAAAAUAAUAAAAAAUUAAAUUAAAUUAAAUUAAGUUUGUACCUAUUAGUUUUUUUUAUAUAUAAAAAGAUUCAAUUUUUUAAUCUUAAAUGUACCCAUUCAUAUAAUUUUUCAUUUUUUUUAAUCUUAAAUGUACCCAUUCUCAAAUAAAUCAAUUUGUUAUAUGUAAAAUGUACCCUUUUUUUUAAUAUAAAAUCCAUUCAAAUUUUUUAAUCCAUGUUUAAACUUAUAUAGGUACAUUCUUUUUCGUUGAUUUGAGAAUGUAUCCAUGUUUUGGUACAAUAACUUUUUUUGUUAAUUUUGGUUAAUGUACUCAUACAUAUAUGUAUAUACACACACACACACACACACACACACACACACACACACAAUAUAAUAGAGAGUAUAAUUUAUAUUUUAUUAUUUUUAAUCCCAUAAAUUAUGGGUUUUAUUUAAAAUCUCAUUAAUAUAAACAAUUUCAAUUUUCAAUUUUUUAUUUUUUAUUUAAAAAAUAUAGUAACUUACAUUAUUACAUUAAUGUCAAUGACCUCAAUAAAAAACUAAAAACUAACAAGGUUUCAAUCAAAAAAUAUUGAUAGCUAGGGAUCGCAUCCAAAGUGUCCCAAUAAUUUAUCUUAAAUCUCUACUAAAAUAUUUUUUGUUAUUUUAUUUUAUUUUGUUUCAAAAAAGUCCUAUUGCAAAUAGAGCACCAUCUUCCUUCACGAGCACCGCGUUCCUCCAUGCCAUUAUUCAUUCACGAGCACCGUAAACAAGGAAGAGGAUAAAGAUUUUCAUUAGUACGCUUUUGUUUUAUAUCAUGAAACCUUAAGCCACUGAAAAGAUUUCUUGUUAAAUAAGGACAUGCUUAAGAAUUUAAUGUAAAUCAAUUUUAGGGUUUUAAAACCUCAUCCUUUUCUAUGAAUAUUCAAUUUUAUUUGCUUGGUAUUAAGAUUUAGUUUAUGGCUCGGAAGCAUAAUCAGAGCAUCUUCACUGAUAGAACCGAAAAGAAUGAAGAAAAAAAACAGAAUGUUUUAAGGGGUAAGAGUUAUGUGAAUCUAUCUUCUUAAUCCCCUUCUUUUCUUCCGCUACUUUCUAUUGCUUAUCAUGAUUUGCAGACAACCAAUGAAAAUACAAUAUUGAUGUUGAGACGGAAGAAGAGAGUGAAAAGGUUGGUUAGGUUGAACACAACGAUCAAGAUUGAUAUAUCCAUCAUGGAUGAUUGGGUUCUUGUCAUAUAUCUUAAUUAACAAUGGCGUGGGGUUAAUGAAGGCGGAGGCUGGGAAGUGUUUACGUUUCCGUAACCUAAUCUUUUUCCUUAAAAUGUUUUAAUUUUAAUUUUUUUGUCAAGUAAAAUGUUUUAAUUUUUUUUUUGUCAAAGGAUAAAAUUGUAUUAAAAAUCAAAUACGAAUGGAAACAUUUGCAUCUUCAGCUAGAAUAUUAAACAAAAAUUGAGGUCCUAAUUCAUCCCAACCAUAACUCCCACCAUGCUUAAGAACGUACGCCGCCACCAUAUGGGCUGCACGAUUGCAUUGUCGAGGGGUAAAGAUAAACUUCACCGAUUUGAAUGACUGCAUUAAAUUCCAAAUAUCAGCUAAAUAUAUCUCCAGCAACACAUCAGCUUGAAUCUCCUUAUUCAACAUUUGAACCAAUCCUUUCGAAUCAGACUCCACCUCCAAAAUCUCCCCGGACGCAUGAAAACCCCUUAAAACACACAUCUGCAGUCCCUGUCUUAUGGCUGCCGCCUCAGCCAUAUCUGAGGACAAGAAAAAGGCCCCACCAUUGCCUCCCACCAUCUUUGGAAGUCCUGCAAAGUCGCGCAAGACCCACCCAACACCACCUAUCUUUGUUUCCUUCAGCCAUGCAGCAUCAGUAUUUAAUUUUAGCCUGCCAAACUCAGGUUUCGUCCAUCCCAUUGCGCUGAUCACAUUCUGGGAACCAUCCCCCACCAAAGCCUGGCGUGCACUUCUAUCCUCCUCCCCAUUAGCCACUGCCAUCGCCGCUUGAAACUCGGAGACUUGACGACACCACAACUCAACUGCAAUAUGAGGCACGAUUAUCGUUAAAUACUGCUUCAUUGCGACAUUUCCAUAUACGCCACAAACCAAAAACAAUUUGUUGAAGCACAGAGUCUACAUCCUGUCCCUGACCCACACGGUCUAAUAGCAUUUUCCACCCCCCCAGAAAGUCUUGUGCCCCAAAAGAACUCAUAUCCAUUUGUAAUGAUGUGCCAAACCAAAAUGCUCGGCUAAAGUCACAGUUAAAGAAUAUAUGUGCUUCUGUUUCAUCAGCAGCUCCACAUAAUUCACAUAUAUUCUUGACUCGAAUUCGACGCCUUUCCAAGUUAUGUCUCACGGCAAGAGAAUGACGGCAAGCGCGCCAAAGAAACAACCUAAGUUUAUUAGGAACCAUCACCUUCCAUGUUUUCUGCCAAAGACCAUCCAAUGAGCACGGAGAGCUUGACAUACCACCCCAUUUCCUCCCAAAUUCCCCAUUUUGCAUCAUCUCGAGCGCAACAAAAUAUCCCGACUUAACCGUGUAUAGCCCAUUUUUCGUAUAAUGCCAUAUACGUCGAUCUUCACAGCCACUUUGACUAAUCAGGAUAGCCCUAAUAAUUUCAACUUCCUCCGGCUGAAACAAUUCAGUCACAAGAUCAAUCUUCCAAUCCUUAGUCACAGGAUCAAUAAGGGACUGCACAAGCGGAUCAACAUCCCUUUGCUGCCUCAUAGGUCGAAAUGUAUGGGGUUUUGGGAGCCACAGUAAAAUCCCUUUCCAACCCCACGAUGAUUUAUUCCUCCUAUUUGCCUCCAAAAAGGAAGUGGCAGGAAAAUAUUUAUCACGAAGUAAUUGACCAAGAACAGAGGUGGGAUUAUGUAAGACCCGCCAACUGAUCUUUGCUAGCAUAGCCAAAUUAAAACAAAUCAAGUCCCGAAAACCCAAACCACCACACUUUUUACUCAUUGUCAUCUUAUCCCACGCCACCCAAUGACACCCUUUCGUUCUCGAUUGGCCCCUCCACCAAAAUUGAGAGAUAACUUGUUCCAGUUCUUUACACGUUCCAACCGGUAACUUAAAGCAAGCCAUAGCAUGAUUUGGCAUAGCCAUUGCUACCGAUUUGAUUAAGACCUCUUUACCCGCUGGAGAAAGGAAUUGUUCUGCCCAACCGUCAAUACGGGACCCAAUACCACGUCUAACUGAUUCAAAAACCGCCUUCUUUGAGUGCCCAAAAUCGGCCUGAAGCCCUAAGUAUUUACCAAAUCCAUCUCUUGCUUGAAUAUUCAUCACCAUAACGAUUCGUUUUUUUUGUUUUUUAGGGCAUCCCUUCCCAAAAUAUAUAGAGCUUUUCUCCAAGUUAACAAUCUGGCCCAAGGAGUCACCAUAAUCCUGUAAAAUGCGCAUCACCCGACUAGCUUCAUACUCAUUAGCUUGACAAAAGAUGACGGAAUCAUCCGCAAAAAAUAAAUGAGAAAUUGGCUCCGCUUCCAUCGAUACCCGCAUCCCAUGUAUCAACCCAUCCAACUCAUAUUUGCGAAUAUACGAAGAAAGUGCUUCCGCGCAAAUAAGAAAUAAGAAAGGUGACAAAGGGUCACCUUGCCUUAGUCCUCUUGUCGGCAGAAUAUAUCCCGAGGGGACACCAUUCAUCAAAACACUGUAUGAAACUGUUGAAAUGCACUCCCGGAUCCAGUCACAAAAUUUAGGGUGAAAACCAAGCUUCAACAUAAGUUAGUAGUUUAAGAUGAGUCAUAUUAAUUUUAUUCAAGACCAUUACAUUUGAAAAGAUCCAAGAGUUAGUACGGAGUGUAAAAAUAUUUGUCUCUUAAUUCUAUCAUCUUAUACAAUCGUACAUAAAUGUGCACCUAUAUAUAUACUGUGUACCUAUACUUAUGAACUUAAUUUAGAGCUUAAGUUGCGCGCCACAGCAGAAUCACUGCUAUUAUCGAAGUGCGCAGCCGUGAAAUUUCACAUGGUGGAGUCGUUGUCAAAGUCCUCCUCAUCGUCGACCACCAGCUCAUCGGACUCAUCAUACGAAUCGAAAUCGGCGCCGACGCCGCAGGCAGAAAUGCUCUUGAGAUCGUCGUUUGCCGUCAAUGUGCCGUCGUGAUUGUCGGUCGAGAAGGAGGAGGGAAGGAACGGCUGCGCGUGGUCCUUGGACGCGACCUUGCGCUUAUGGAUGGACAAGGUGGCGGAGGCGGAGGUCGAGUGCGAAGGAAAAGAGGUAUGCAUGCUUUCGGACAGUUCGACGCCGCGAGGUGCGCGGAGUGGGCAUCCAUUUAGGAUCAACUCAGUGAGUUGACUCGGAACGAGUUAAGGGUUUUGCCCAGGCGGGAUCCGAGAGUUUACAAUGGUUUGGGUUCACAUAAAAAAUGAGGAUGAGAAAGGCAAUCACGUGCCAAUCUAACUUACAACAACGAAGUCGUGGAACCGAAAAAAGUUUGAACAGUACUUGGCUGCUGACAAAUCAGCAGCUCCUCCUGCAAUUAGUUAAUUACAGAUUAACACGUAUUCAAUUUAUAAUUAAAAAAUUAAUUACUUGAACAUGUAUUCAUCUGUAAUUAAAUAAUUGUUAAUUUUUCAGUAAUCAAGUUCUGUUGAAAAAGCUUUUGCCCAAGCUGGGCAAAGUUCGUACCAGCCAUUGGGCCCUGGGAACCCAAACAAGUUUGAGUUGAGGCUUUACCCAAUAUUAAAAUUGAGUAGGAUUUUUUUUUUCUUCUCUCCUUCCUUCUUUUUCUAUUUGAACGGUCACGGUUAAGUUAUAUUAUUUAUAUUAAUUUUUUUUAUAGAAAAAGAAAGAUAAAAUAGAGAAUGUGAGAGGAAAUGAUGAAAGAGGAUGUGAAGAGGAUGAGAGAGAAUCCUACCCCUAUUAAAAUUGGCCCUGACUUUACAACAACAACAACAACAACAACAAAGCCUUUUCCCACUAAGUGGGGUCGGCUAUAUGAAUCCUAGAACGCCAUUGCGCUCGGUUUUGUGUCAUGUCCUCCGUUAGAUCCAAGUACUCAAGUCUUUUCUUAGGGUCUCUUCCAAAGUUUUCCUAGGUCUUCCUCUACCCCUUCGGCCCUGAACCUCUGUCCCGUAGUCACAUUUUCGAACCGGAGCGUCAGUAGGCCUUCUUUGCACAUGUCCAAACCACCGGAACCGAUUUUCUCUCAUAUUUCCUUCAAUUUUGGCUACUCCUACUUUACCUCGGAUAACCUAAUUCCCAAUCUUAUCCUUUCUCGUGUGCCCAUACAUCCCACGAAGCAUCCUCAUCUCUGCUACACCCAUUUUGUGUACGUUGAUGCUUCACUGCCCAACAUUCUGUGCCAUACAACAUCGCUGGCCUUAUUGCCGUCCUAUAAAAUUUUCCCUUGAACUUCAGUGGCCUACGACGGUCACACAACACGCCGGAUGCACUCUUACACUUCAUCCAUCCAGCUUGUAUUCUAUGGUUGAGAUCUCCAUCUAAUUCUCCGUUCUCUUGCAAGAUAGAUCCUAGGUAGCGAAAACGGUCACUUUUUGUGUGAUCUUCGCUAGAUUGCUCCGGUCAUUAGUGUGGAUAAGUAUAUAAAUGGAUAGAGAUAGGAAAGCAAACACAAGAUGUACGUGGUUCACCCAGAUUGGCUACGUCCACGGAAUAGAGGAAUUCUCAUUAAUUGUGAAGGGUUUACACAAAAGCAAACACAAGAUGUACGUGGUUCACCCAGAUUGGCUACGUCCACGGAAUAGAGGAGUUCUCAUUAAUUGUGAAGGGUUUACACAAGUACAUAGGUUCAAGCUCUCUUUUAGUGAGUACAAGUGAAUGAUUUAGUACAAAUGACAUUAGGAAAUAUUGUGGGAGAAUGAUCUCGUAGCCACGAAACUUCUAAGUACCGGAGUGUGGUAUCGUCUUGACUUGCCUUAUCUGUCUCAUAGGUAGAUGUGGCAUCUUCUCUGGAAGUACUCUUCCUCCAUCCAGGGGUGGUAUCUGUAACUGGUGGAGAUGCACAAGGUAAUGUAUCAAUUUCACUUGAAGCUUACUUGUAGUUUCAUGCUUGGUCAAGCGCGAUACAAACCAUGUAGUAGGAGUCCCCAAGUCGCCGAGCUAGGGGAUCUGCUGAAAGAGGUGACAGACAAGGUAAGCAAUCAGAGCUCCGGCUGAUUGUUCACAUUCUCCCUAUCUUGCAGGCAGCAUGAAGGAUAAAGAGAAGAAAAAUGAGGAGAGAUGAUAUGGGAUACUUUUGCUUUUGAAGAAGUAACUUUCCACAGGCUUAUUCUUGAACUGGGCUGGAGGGUUUUCUGGUUUCCUCCAGAGUAUAAGGCCGACUGAAGAAUUUGAGGGUCAAAACAAGUCCAUCAAAUCUAGAGUACGUUCGACCCUGCUGAUAUGGGAUAUACUUUUGCUUUUGACAGAGUAGUGGAUGUAUCGGCACGUGUGCUGUUACGCUUGUCUCCACAUGCUUCCUUGUAACCUUCUCACUUGCCCUAUUUGUUCCUCAGGCAGAUGCGGUAUCUUCCCUGGAAGCAUAAGAUGUUGAAGAUGAGUACUCGAGAGCAAUGCCAGGUAAGUAAUCAGGUAAGGGGUUCCAGGCAGUCAGUUCCUGGCUGGAAGCUUGAUUCCACGUGCUGACUGAUUGCUCUCUUUCUCCUUGUCUUGCAGGUAAGAACAAGGCCAAAGGAAAAGACAGGGAAAAAGCAUGAUAUGGGAUACUCUUGCUUUUAACCCUGAUGAUAUGAGAUAUUCUUGCUCUAGUAUAGCUUGUUUACAGAGGUAUUAUCGGGGGGAAAGAAAGCUGAAUAUUUCGAAAGGCUUCGUUGGGAGUGCCCUCUCAGAUAAGAGAAAGGGUUGAGCAUUUUUGCAGGUCUGCCUGUCCGUUAGGGAUGCAGGUCGACAUAUAUAGGAGUCUCCCUAACAUCAAGUAAUAAUGCUAUUCCUUUACCCUGCUUGGUUAUAGCACGGUAGUGGGAGCUGCCAGCUUCACAUGUUUUAACUCUGUCAGAGCACUUUGAAAAAGUGGUCUGUGGUAUCUGGAAAUCUGAUGUUGCGUGUGAAGAUUACAGACAAGCUUUAUCCAAGGAGAUCCAGCUCUUGAAGUUGGGAAAGUGGUGCCUCUUCGAUUUUCGAACAAUCAAUCCUGUCGGGGAUUUGGCUAUCGAGAUUCGGAGAACGAUGCCUUUUCGAUUUUUGAGAAAGCAAUCCUGCUGGGGGUCUGGCUCUCGAGAUUCGGAGAGCGGUGUCUCUUCGAUUUUUGAGAAAGUAAUCAUGUUGGGAGUCUGGCUCUCGAGAUUCGGAGGGCGGUGUCUCUUCGAUUUUGGAGCAAGCAAUCUUGUUGGGAGUGUUUUCUCGAAUGUGAGUAAAGGUUGGACGUGUUUGCUAGUCUACCUUGCCACGAAGCACAGAGGUUGACACACAGGGACUUUCCAAUUAUCCAGCAGUGGUACUGUUCCUUUACCCUCUCUUCGAUUUUUGAGAAAGUAAUCAUGUUGGGAGUCUGGCUCUCGAGAUUCGGAGGGCGGUGCCUCUUCGAUUUUGGAGCAAGCAAUCUUGUUGGGAGUGUUUUCUCGAAUGUGAGUAAAGGUUGGGCAUGUUUGCUAGUCUACCUUACCACGAAGCACAAAGGUUGACACACAGGGACUUUCCAAUUAUCCAGCAGUGGUACUGUUCAUUUCCCCUCUCUUCGAUUUUUGAGAAAGUAAUCAUGUUGGGAGUCUGGCUCUCGAGAUUCGGAGGGCGGUGCCUCUUCGAUUUUGGAGCAAGCAAUCUUGUUGGGAGUGUUUUCUCGAAUGUGAGUACAGGUUGGGCAUGUUUGCUAGUCUACCUUGCCACGAAGCACAGAGGUUGACACACCGAGACUUUCCAAUUAUCCAGCAGUGGUACUGUUCCUUUACCCUUGUGGGUAAUAAUAUGGUAGCUAGACCUUCAAAAUUUAUGUGUUUAAACUUUGUUAGUGUUGUUUCUUUGCAAUUCUUUUACCCUUCUUGGUCAGAGCGAUGUAGUGGGAGCUGCAAGCUUCACGUGUCUCAACUUUGUCAGAGAACUUUGGCAAAGUUAUCUGUGGUACCCAUGAGCUACUGUUGCGUGUGGGAAGUGGGUGAUUGAACAGUACGAUUCAUGUGCUUUCUACUUCGUCAGAAAUCUUCGACAGAAUGCCCAUAAUUUCCGCAAAGCUGAGUGUGCGUGUGACAGGUGCUGACAAGGCUAGAAAAGUAGGUGCCUCUUCGAUUUCUGAGAUCGGCCCUCGUGGUCUCUGAGCAUCCCAGCUUUUGAGAAAGCAAGCCUCUUCGAUUUAUGAGAUCGGCCUUCGUGGUCUUUGAGCAGCCCAGCUUUUGAGAAAGCAAACGCCUCUUCGAUUUCUGAGAUCGACCCUCGUGGUCUCUGAGCAGCCCAGCUUUUGAGAAAGCAAACGCCUCUUCGAUUUCUGAGCAGGCCCCUCUUCGAUUUCUGAAGCUUCGUCGAGUGCAGAUUUUUAUAGGGGCUGACAUUAAGUUCCAAAGCACACUUGAAUAUCCACUAGUAGAAGCUCCAUUCUUGCACUUCUAAGAUCUUGAUUUGUCCGACCUCUUCUCUCUUCAACACCUUUGAAAAUGUCUGGCCCCUCCGACCGUCGUUUUGACUUGAACCUUGUUGAAGAGGCAGCCUCGCCUUCUCCAGACAACAUAUGGCGCCCAUCCUUCGUCUCCCCUACUGGUCCUCUUACCGUUGGGGAUUCCGUGAUGAAGAAUGAUAUGACCGCUGCGGUAGUGGCCAUGAACCUUCUCACUUCCAAAGAUAACAGACUACUUUCCAAACGGUCUGAUGAGUUGGCUGUUAAGGAUUCUCUGGCUCUCAGUGUUCAGUGUGCAGGUUCUGUGUCUAAUAUGGCCCAACGCCUAUUUGCUCGAACUCGCCAAGUUGAAUCAUUGGCGGCUGAAGUGAUGAGUCUCAAACAGGAGAUUAGAGGGCUCAAGCAUGAGAAUAAACAGUUGCACCGGCUCGCACAUGACUAUGCUACAAACAUGAAGAGGAAGCUUGACCAGAUGAAGGAAUCUGAUGGUCAGGUUUUACUUGAUCAUCAGAGAUUUGUGGGUUUGUUCCAAAGGCAUUUAUUGCCUUCGUCUUCUGGGGCUGUACCGCGUAAUGAAGCUCCAAAUGAUCAACCUCUGAUGCCUCCUCCUUCUAGGGUUUUGUCCAGUACUGAGGCUCCGAAUGAUCCUCCUCCGGUGCCUUCUCUUUCUGGGGCUCUACCGCCUGCUGAGACUUCUCCUAAGCAACCUUUGUGAAGGCUCCCUCUUGUUUGUUUAUUUUUGACUCAAGUAUAUGUACAUAUUUGUAACUUAUCGGGGAUAUCAAUAAAUAAGCUUUCCUUCAUUUCAACGUAUUGUGUUAAAUACAUCAAAGCCUUCUUCGCUAAGUUCUUUGAAUUUUCUUUUGUUGAAGCUUGUAUGUUGAAGCUUUGUGAGUGGAGCAUAUAGGUUGAGGUAGUGUUCCCUUAAUUUCCCGAGUGAGGAAAACUUCUUGGUUGGAGACUUGGAAAAUCCAAGUCACUGAGUGGGAUCGGCUAUAUGAAUCUUAGAACGCCAUUGUGUUCUGUCCUGUGUCAUGUCCUCCGUUAGAUCCAAGUACUCUAAGCUUUUCUUAGGGUCUCUUCCAAAGUUUUCCUAGGUCUUCCUCUGCCCCUUCGGCCCUGAACCUCUGUCCCAUAGUCGUAUCUUCUAAUCGGAGAGUCAGUAGGCCUUCUUUGCACAUGUCCAAACCACCGUAACCGAUUUUCUCUCAUCUUUCCUUCAAUUUCGGCUACUCCUACUUUACCCCGGAUAUCCUCAUUCCUAAUCUUAUCCUUUCUCGUGUGCCCACACAUCCAACGAAGCAUCCUCAUCUCCGCUACACCCAUUUUGUGUACGUGUUGAUGCUUCACUGCCCAACAUUCUGUGCCAUACAGCAUCGCCGGCCUUAUUGCCGUCCUAUAAAAUUUUCCCUUGAGCUUCAGUGGCAUACGGCGGUCACACAACACGCCGGAUGCACUCUUCCACUUCAUCCAUCCAGCUUGUAUUCUAUGGUUGAGAUCUCCAUCUAAUUCUCCGUUCUUUUGCAAGAUAGAUCCUAGGUAACGAAAACGGUCGCUCUUUUGGUAUUUCUUGAUCUCCGAUCCUCACCCCUAACUCGUUUUGGCCUCCAUUUGCACUGAACUUGCACUCCAUAUAUUCUGUCUUUGAUCGGCUUAGGCGAAGACCUUUAGAUUCCAACACUUCUCUCCAAAGGUUAAGCUUUGCAUUUACCCCUUCCUGAGUUUCAUCUAUCAACACUAUAUCGUCUGCGAAAAGCAUACACCAAGGAAUAUCACCUUGAAUAUGUCCUGUUAACUCAUCCAUUACCAACGCAAAAAGGUAAGGACUUAAGGAUGAGCCUUGAUGUAAUCCUACAGUUAUGGGAAAGCUUCCGGUUUGUCCUUCAUGAGUUCUUACGGCAGUCUUUGCUCCUUCAUACAUAUCCUGUUAUAGCUUGGAUAUAUGCUACUCGUACUCCUUUCUUCUCUAAAAUCCUCCAAAGAAUGUCUCUUGGGACCCUAUCAUACGCUUUUUCCAAAUCUAUAAAGACCAUGUGUAAAUCCUUUUUCCCAUCUCUAUAUCUUUCCAUCAAUCUUCGUAAGAGAUAGAUUGCCUCCAUGGUUGAGCGCCCUGGCAUGAACCCGAAUUGGUUGUCCGAAACCCGUGUCUCUUGCCUCAAUCUAUGCUCAAUGACUCUCUCCCAGAGCUUCAUUGUAUGACUCAUUAGCUUAAUACCCCUAUAGUUCAUGCAAUUUUGUACAUCGCCCUUAUUCUUGUAGAUAGGCACCAAAGUGCUCAUUCGCCACUCAUUCGGCAUCUUCUUCGUUUUCAAAAUCCUAUUGAAAAGGUUAGUGAGCCAUGUUAUACCUGUCUCUCCCCCAAAACUUUCCACACUUCGAUUGGUAUAUCGUCUGGGCCUACUGCUUUUCUAUGCUUCAUCUUCUUCAAAGCUACACCCACUUCUUCCUUCCGGAUUCUACGAUAAAAAGAGUAGUUUCUACACUCUUCUGAGUUACUCAACUCCCCUAAAGAAGCACUCCUUUCAUGUCCUUCAUUAAAAAGAUUAUGAAAAUAACAUUUCCAUCUGUCUUUAACCGCGUUCUCUGUAGCAAGAACCUUUUCAUCCUCAUCCUUGAUGCACCUCACUUGGUUUAGGUCCCUUGUCUUCUUGUCCCUUGCUCUAGCUAGUUUAUAGAUAUCCAACUCUCCUUUUUUGGUAUCUAGUCGCUUAUACAUAUCGUCAUAAGCCGCUAACUUAGCUUCUCUCACAGCUUUCUUCGCCUCUUGCUUCGGUUUUCUAUACCUUUCACCAUUUUUAUCGGUCCUAUCCUUGUAUAAGGCUUUACAACAUUCCUUCUUAGCCUUCACCUUUGCUUGUACCUCCUCAUUCCACCACCAAGAUUCCUUUUGGUGUGGGGCAAAGCCCUUGGACUCUCCUAAUACCUCUUUUGCUACUUUUCGGAUACAACUAGCCAUGGAAUCCCACAUUUGGUUAGCUUCCCCCUCUCUAUCCCACACACACUGGGUGAUUACUUUCUCUUUGAAAAUGGCUUGUUUUUCUUCUUUUAGAUUCCACCAUCUAGUCCUUGGGCACUUCCAAGUCUUGUUCUUUUUUCUCACUCUUUUGAUAUGUACAUCCAUCACCAACAAGCGAUGUUGAUUAGCCACGCUCUCUCCUGGUAUAACUUUGCAAUCCUUACAAGUUAUACGAUCCCCUUUCCUCAUUAGAAGAAAAUCUAUUUCUGUUUUUGACGACCCACUCUUGUAGGUGAUCACAUGUUCUUCUCUCUUCUUAAAGAAGGUGUUGGCUAAGAAGAGAUCAUAUGCCAUUGCAAAAUCCAAGAUAGCUUCCCCAUCCUCGUUUCUCUCCCCAAAACCAUGGCCACCAUGAAAACCUCCAUAGUUGCCUGUCUCCCUGCCCACGUGUCCAUUUAAAUCUCCUCCUAUAAAUAACUUCUCUGUCUGAGCAAUUCCUUGCACCAAGUCUCCAAGGUCUUCCCAAAAUUUCUCCUUCGAACUCGUAUCCAACCCUACUUGAGGUGCGUACGCACUAAUCACAUUGAUAAGUUCUUGUCCUAUUACAAUCUUGAUUGCCAUGAUUCUAUCUCCUACCCUCUUGACAUCUACAACAUCUUGUGUCAAGGUCUUGUCCACGAUGAUGCCAACACCGUUUCUCGUUCUAUUUGUGCCCGAAUACCAUAGUUUAAACCCUGAGUUUUCUAGAUCCUUUGCCUUACGACCAACCCACUUAGUUUCUUGUAGGCACAUAAUAUUUAUCCUUCUCCUCACCAUAACUUCUACUACUUCCAUAGAUUUUCCCGUCAAGGUUCCUAUAUUCCACGUUCCUAAACGCAUUUUGCUCUCUUGAACUCUACCCUUCUGUCCUAGCUUCUUCACCAUUCCCCGUCUAAUAGGAUCAAAGUACUUCUUUUGUGUGUCCCGUGUAAAGUUGAUAGGAGCAUAUGCUCCCAAACAACUUUGAGUGGAGUCGUUCGAAAAGAAGUUUCUAUAGCCCCCUUGCUCAUUUAACACUGCAUCUGGGUGCCGAUGGAGAUACAGCGACCCUUGCUCACUUAUCACUGUGCUCAGGCCACACAGCGCACCACUUACGGGUGACGCCUUUCAAAAUUGUAUUAUCUUCCCCCAACUAAUACCAUAGUCUAUUAAUUUUUUUCUUCGCUUAUAAUUGAUACGUUUCAUGUUCGACUCAUAUGGGCGUUGGUGUUCUCUAUCAAUACUAGAUUUAAACAAGGGCAUUUUAAGAAACAAUAGUAGAUGAGAAUACAUAUUGAGAAAGGGUUAAUAAGAUUGGUGAUUUCGUAAGAAAACUAGUAAAGCUAACUUAGGUACUAGAUUGAACAUAUUAAAGAAUAAUUAAGAUCUAAAGAAAAUGUGUAAAAAAUGAAAAAAGAGUGCAAAAAUCACUCCCUUUUUUGGGGUUGGAAGCUCUUCUUAUCUUAAAAUUUGAGUUUUCUUGGUUUAUUUUAUACACAAUAAAGUUAUCCACCAAUAACUCCAAGUCCAAGCAAACAAGUUACCAAUAAUGCUAGCCCCCUUUGUACUACAUUCAAUUAAGGUCAUCACUGACCAAGCGGUAUAGGCCACUGUUAGCACCAAUUUUUGUGCCACUGUCAGCACCAAUUUGUGCAAAAAUUGUCUCCGAUGAAGGACAAAAAUGAAUCUGCCAAAAAGAACAGGACUAGUUUAGCCAAGGGUAUAUGCCACAUAUAGCAAUUAAGCCAUCAAGCCCCUUGGCAUGCCCCAACAUGGGUAUCCCAACUCAAGAUGAAAAGAUUUAGUCUUGCAUGGUUGGAGAUGAAAAAAAUUUAAUCCUACAAUAAUAAUUCUUUUAAAUAUUAAUUUUUAAAGGACUAAAACACAGCUAAAGGUCGGCUACAUUUAGCUUUCCAUGACUGAAGAUGACCUAACAUUCACACAUAAACCAACUAGCUUAUAGUAGGAAAACAAUAAUAUGUGGUACUGGAAUAUAUGCAUACGUGAUAUAAUCCAUUUAUGUGUAUAGUAUUGAUUGACGAUAUGAUUGAUAAUUCCCUUUUUAAGGUAUGUUAUCAAUAAAAUAUCCACGCAUACUCUACCAAAUAAACUGAUUAUACCACAUAACAAUACACUCGUACCAAACAUCCAACAUAAAAAAAAAUUAGUACCAGAGAAAUUGUAAGUUCAGAUCCCCCCAUAUAGAGAAGGGACCUUAAAUAUUAGCACCAUUAAGUUUACAAAAUAAAAUUCCAAUUAAAAGGAACCCACAAGCUCAUGAGUUCUGACCAAACCGAAAUAAAGUACGAAAAUAGUUAUAAAAGAAACAUGCAUGAAAGGCAGACCUCCCGACUUCAGUUAAGCUUGAUCAGUACCAACAUAACUUCCUAUCAGAACCCACCAGACGACCCAGAUCUCUUCCAGGACCUGCGCAUGUAAAAGAAGAACACCAUUUUAAUUACAUGUGAAAGCCAAGAUUUGAUUAACAAAAGAAAAGUGAAAUGAUAUAUAGAAAUUGUAUAGUUAUAUACUAACCCUACCUAGCUAGAAAUGGUGCCAAUAGUAGUCGUCUUCCUUCCUCUCCCUCACCGCCAGAGGGACAUAGGUCUUGGGGUCUUCACCCAGCUUUCUCUUCCGCCUAGCCGGAGCGCCCGAUGGUUUGGUGUUCGUUGAAGCCGGAGUUGGUGAGCUGUUUUUAGGUGCCUCUUCCAAGGUAUACCUACAACAUAUAUUCACACAUUAACUAAUUAAUUCUGAACCUGUUAUUGUAUAUACGUACAGUGCUUAAUUCAAUGUCUAAGAAUUCACACAUAAAAAUUAGAAAACGACAGCAUAAUCUGUAGCUAAACUGCGACAGCAUAUAUGUGUAUUUGUAAGUUGAGAAAACAUAAUAGGUUAGGGUUAGGUUUAAAUAAUUAAAUAAUUAAUAAACUUCAUUUACCCAGUAUCAACUGUCUCCUGGGCUGGAAAGAACAUGUUUGAACGAAUCGGGAAAUUAUUAUGAUUCUCCCCAUUCCUUUCCAUCUGACCAUGGAGUGCUAACCCCAU
rnacentral:lncRNA from 1 species